AUUGAACGCUGGCGGCAGGCCUAACACAUGCAAGUCGAGCGGAUGAGAGGAGCUUGCUCCUUGAUUUAGCGGCGGACGGGUGAGUAAUGCCUAGGAAUCUGCCUGGUAGUGGGGGAUAACGUUCCGAAAGGAACGCUAAUACCGCAUACGUCCUACGGGAGAAAGCAGGGGACCUUCGGGCCUUGCGCUAUCAGAUGAGCCUAGGUCGGAUUAGCUAGUUGGUGAGGUAAUGGCUCACCAAGGCGACGAUCCGUAACUGGUCUGAGAGGAUGAUCAGUCACACUGGAACUGAGACACGGUCCAGACUCCUACGGGAGGCAGCAGUGGGGAAUAUUGGACAAUGGGCGAAAGCCUGAUCCAGCCAUGCCGCGUGUGUGAAGAAGGUCUUCGGAUUGUAAAGCACUUUAAGUUGGGAGGAAGGGCAUUAACCUAAUACGUUAGUGUUUUGACGUUACCGACAGAAUAAGCACCGGCUAACUUCGUGCCAGCAGCCGCGGUAAUACGAAGGGUGCAAGCGUUAAUCGGAAUUACUGGGCGUAAAGCGCGCGUAGGUGGUUCGUUAAGUUGGAUGUGAAAGCCCCGGGCUCAACCUGGGAACUGCAUCCAAAACUGGCGAGCUAGAGUACGGUAGAGGGUGGUGGAAUUUCCUGUGUAGCGGUGAAAUGCGUAGAUAUAGGAAGGAACACCAGUGGCGAAGGCGACCACCUGGACUGAUACUGACACUGAGGUGCGAAAGCGUGGGGAGCAAACAGGAUUAGAUACCCUGGUAGUCCACGCCGUAAACGAUGUCAACUAGCCGUUGGGUUCCUUGAGAACUUAGUGGCGCAGCUAACGCAUUAAGUUGACCGCCUGGGGAGUACGGCCGCAAGGUUAAAACUCAAAUGAAUUGACGGGGGCCCGC
rnacentral:rRNA from 1 species